UUGAAGCUCAGCUAGUAAUAAUAUAUUACACUAUUCAAAUUUUUAAUUGUUAAGUACAUUAUUAAUUCUUCUAUUCAUUAAUUUCUUUACUUUAGGUAAAACACCUACAAAUAAGGAGUCCGAAAGUUCUAAUUCUGAAAAUGCUAUAACUUUUUCUACUUGUCAUGAAGUUAUUUAUCGAACUCCCCAGCGUACAAGACAUGCUUUGUAGGUAUAUAUUUCAAAAUAUUAUAUGAGAAAUUUAUUUCGAAAAAUAGAUGUCUUCAAUUUACGGCAUCACAUGUGUAUAAUAUGAUUAAUUAAUUACUUAACUAACUUUUGUUAAAAGUUUGUUAUUGUAGUUCUAAUACUUGAAAACCAUGUUUAAUUGAGGGUUUUUGGAGAAAAUAAGAAGUGAAAUAUUUUGAAUUUAUUAAAAUACCUGUAAUUAAUAAAAAUACAAUUUUCAGGGACUUGAUAUCAAACUCAGGACCCCCGUUUUAAAAAAACUAAGCCAUUAAAUGUUAUCUGAAACGAGUCACCAUUAAUAAUAAUGAUAAUAAUGCAAUUAUUAAGGUAAUCAUGCUACAAGAACCAAUUAAUAUAAAGAAACAAAGAAACUGCUCAAAUAUAAAUUAGAAAAUAUUGAACAAAAAAUAUUCUUUCAAAAUGAAAAUAAUAAGAGACUACAAAGUCAAAUAGAUGAGUUGGACAUUAAUUAUACUGAUGCUUUAAAUAAAAUUGAGUCCCUCGAAUUAUCAAAUAAAAAUUUAGUUGCUGAAAAUCAAUAAUUAAAACAAAUCAACUCAGAACUCAUAGAGCAACUGAACAAUGGAAGUUAACGCCUAUGUGAAGAUUUGGUUUAUCCAGAUGUCUAAUCUAUAAUUAUGCGAAAUUUAUGUAUAUUUUACUUAAAAUAAUUAUUGUUUACAUUUUUUUAAAUUUUAACCAUCAGUAAGCUAUAACAGCAA